UGUUUCUCCACCUCUAGGUUUUAUAUCGACGUUUCGCCACCUCUAUCGUGGAAACCUUUGCGUGAUUCGCCAUACGAAAUUACUCAAGGAAAGGAUUUCCCGCGAAAACGUAAGGCAAUACCCAGUGUGACGUAACCGAAACGGAGAGACUAAUCCCAGGUGUUACCACGCAGGACUUGUCACUUACAACCAGGAGUAAACCAGACACUCGGACUCCAGGACUCCGACCGGAAGAAACAACA